rnacentral:SRP_RNA from 1 species
CAACCGGGCCCGUACGGCAAGGACUUACGAAUCCCGCCAGGCCCGGAAGGGAGCAACGGUAGUAAAUAUCUUUGUGCGUUACGGUAACCUGGUUGCU